UAAGGUCAUGGGUCAUGGAUAUAGGGUCAUGGGGCCAUUGGGAUAUAGGGCCAUGGGGCCAUGGGGCUGUAGGACCAUGGAUAUAGGGUCAUGGGGUCGUUGGGAUAUAGGGCCAUGGGGUCAUUGCGUCAUUGGGAUAUGGAGGCCAUGGGGCUGUAGGGCCAUGGGGUCAUGGGGCCAUUGGGUUAUAGGGCCAUGGGGCUGUAGGGUCAUGGGGUCAUUGGGAUAUAGGGCCAUGGGGCCAUGGGGCUGUAGGGCCAUGGGGCUGUAGGGUCAUGGAUAUAGGGUCAUGGGUCAUGGAUAUAGGGUCAUGGGGCCAUUGGGCUGUAGGGUCAUAGGGUCAUUGGGAUAUAGGGUCAUGGCGCCAUGGGGUCAUUGGGCUGUAGGGUCAUGGAUAUAGGGUCACGGGUCAUGGAUAUAGG
rnacentral:lncRNA from 1 species